GUGUAUGCUUGCAAUCGGCGGAGUUCUGUCAGUUGGAGAGCAUGAUCUUGACAUGAAUCGAUGAAUAAAUUGCCAGAUCUAACUCUUCCAGCUCGCAAACUACGUCACAUCACCUCGACAGCAAA
rnacentral:precursor_RNA from 10 species